rnacentral:rRNA from 1 species
AAAUUGAAGAGUUUGAUCAUGGCUCAGAUUGAACGCUGGCGGCAGGCCUAACACAUGCAAGUCGAACGGUAACAGGAAGUAGCUUGCUGCUUCGCUGACGAGUGGCGGACGGGUGAGUAAUGUCUGGGAAACUGCCUGAUGGAGGGGGAUAACUACUGGAAACGGUAGCUAAUACCGCAUAACGUCGAAAGACCAAAGAGGGGGACCUUCGGGCCUCUUGCCAUCGGAUGUGCCCAGAUGGGAUUAGCUUGUU